CUACGGGGCGCUGCAGUGGGGAAUAUUGCACAAUGGGCGCAAGCCUGAUGCAGCCAUGCCGCGUGUAUGAAGAAGGCCUUUGGGUUGUAAAGUACUUUCAGCGGGGAGGAAGGGAGUAAAGUUAAUACCUUUGCUCAUUGACGUUACCCGCAGAAGAGGCACCGGCUAACUCCGUGCCAGCAGCCGCGGUAAUACGGAGGGUGCAAGCGUUAAUCGGAAUUACUGGGCGUAAAGCGCACGCAGGCGGUUUGUUAAGUCAGAUGUGAAAUCCCCGGGCUCAACCUGGGAACUGCAUCUGAUACUGGCAAGCUUGAGUCUCGUAGAGGGGGGUAGAAUUCCAGGUGUAGCGGUGAAAUGCGUAGAGAUCUGGAGGAAUACCGGUGGCGAAGGCGGCCCCCUGGACGAAGACUGACGCUCAGGUGCGAAAGCGUGGGGAGCAAACAGGAUUAGAUACCCUAGUAGUC
rnacentral:rRNA from 1 species